rnacentral:rRNA from 1 species
AGAGGUGGCAAGCGUUGCUCGGUAUCACUGGGCUUAAAGGGCGCGUAGGCGGUGCGGUACGGUUUCGGUGAAAUCCCUCGGCCCAACCGAGGAACAGCCGGGGCUACGGCCGCGCUAGACGGCAUCAGGGGACAGUGGAACUCCCGGUGGAGCGGUGAAAUGCGUAGAUAUCGGGAGGAACGCCGGUGGCGAAAGCGACUGUCUGGGGUGCCUGUGACGCUGAGGCGCGAAAGCCAGGGGAUCAAACGGGAUUAGAUACCCCGGUAGUCCUGGCCCUAAACGAUGCGCACUAGGUAGCGGGGGGUUCCGACUUCCCGCUGCCGGAGUAAAAAUCUUAAGUGCGCCGCCUGGGGAGUACGGCCGCAAGGUUA